rnacentral:tRNA from 1 species
UGGGGAAUCGUCUAGCGGUAGGACUACGGACUCUGACUCCGUCAACUGAGGUUCGAAUCCUUGUUCCCCAGCCA